ACCUCUGUAGUGUAGUGGUAGCACGCUUUCCCGGUAUGGAUGAUCGUGGGUUCGACUCCCAUCUGAGGUC